rnacentral:rRNA from 1 species
AGGACGAACGCUGGCGGCGUGCUUAACACAUGCAAGUCGAGCGGUAAGGCUCCUUCGGGAGUACACGAGCGGCGAACGGGUGAGUAACACGUGAGCAAUCUGCCCUUCACAUUGGAAUAACUUCGGGAACCGAAGCUAAUACCGAAUACGACCACCGAUGGCAUCAUCUGGUAGUGGAAAGUUCCGGCGGUGAAGGAUGAGCUCGCGGCCUAUCAGCUUGUUGGUGGGGUCAUGGCCCACCAAGGCGACGACGGGUA